GGGAUUGUUGACAUUCAAGGACAUAUCUGUAGAAUUCUCUAUGGAAGAGUGGGCCUCCUGAACCCUGAUCAGAAGAAUUUGUAUCAGGAUGUCAUAUUAGAGAACUAUGGAAACCUGGUUUUCAUAGGUUUUUUUCUGCAAUACCGUGGAUACAAUUUGUCAUGACUGUUGGAGAGCCUCAAGCUGUUGCCCUGGGUAGAGUGCCAUUGCAUCACAGCUCACAGCAACCUCCAACUUCUGGGCUCAAGCAUUUCUUCUGCCUCCGCCUCCCAAGUAGCUGGGACUACAGGCGCCUGCCACAACACCCGGCUAUUUUUUGGUUGCAGCCGUCAUCGUGUUUGGC